UGGACAUUACUGCUUUCUUUCUCUCCUGGAAAGGGCCUUGGGUCAGGGGCAGGACAUAAGGGCUACCAGUGGACUCAAAUGCAGGAUGCUGUCAGAUAUCCAGGUUGGAGUGUGGGCUCUGAGGACAGAGUCCUGAGCUGGUGUUGAAGGUUUUGCCUUCUCCUUGCCCGUGAGCCAAUACUACUCCCUUCUUGCUGCCUGGGAAGUGCUAGCCAGAGUCUCUGCUUCCCACGCUUCUCUGUGAGGAGGAAACUUGGGCCUAGAGCUUAUAAAGGACAGCAAUUCCCGCUGCUUGGAACAGAGAGGUUCGCCGUUAUAACAGGUCGGCAGGUCC